rnacentral:misc_RNA from 1 species
AAAUUUGAAAGGAUAUCCCAGAUUUUGCUCAGCUCUCAACCUCCGGAUAAUCUCACGCAGCGAUGUGGGUGUUUUCGUUUUCAUGAAAUUGAGGAACUUAGCUUGUAGGCAACCUCAUAUUUCGAUGGGAGAUUACAAUGGUGGUAAUUAUGUGGAUAUCAAUGAAGUGCCUUCUCCUAGGUUACAUGACUUUAAGAAAGUAUCAGUUUUACCCCUUGUCUUCCUCAUCUUCUAUGAGGUUUCCGGAGGUCCGUUUGGGGUUGAGGACAGUGUCCAAGCAGCUGGUCCGCUAUUGGCCCUUCUUGGUUUCUUGGUCUUUCCCAUAAUAUGGAGUAUCCCUGAGGCAUUGAUUACAGCUGAGAUGGGCACCAUGUUCCCUGAAAAUGGAGGUUAUGUUGUAUGGGUUUCGUCUGCGUUGGGCCCCUACUGGGGAUUCCAGCAAGGAUGGAUGAAAUGGCUAAGCGGGGUGAUUGAUAAUGCUCUCUACCCAGUUCUUUUUCUUGAUUAUUUGAAGUCUGGAAUUCCAGCUUUAGGCGGUGGCAUCCCAAGAGCUGCAGCAGCUCUAGUCUUGACGUUUGUGCUCACUUACAUGAACUAUAGAGGCUUGACUAUCGUGGGUUGGGCUGCAGUUCUUUUAGGGAUCUUUUCCAUUCUUCCUUUUGUGGUUAUGGGAUUGGUGGCAAUGCCAAAGUUGGAUCCUUCAAGAUGGUUUGUGGUGAAUUUGCGUGAUGUUGACUGGAAUUUGUAUUUGAACACCCUCUUUUGGAAUUUAAAUUACUGGGACUCAAUUAGUACGCUUGCUGGAGAGGUGGAUAACCCAAAGAAAACUCUACCUAAAGCUCUUUUUUAUGCUUUGAUAUUGGUUGUUCUUGGUUAUUUCUUCCCACUUUUGAUUGGCACUGGGGCUGUCCCACUCAAUUGGGAUUUGUGGACUGAUGGAUAUUUCUCUGAUAUUGCUCAAAUGCUUGGAGGAGUUUGGUUAAGAUGGUGGAUCCAAGGAGCUGCAGCUAUGUCAAAUAUGGGAAUGUUUGUAGCUGAGAUGAGCAGUGACUCUUUUCAGCUUUUGGGUAUGGCAGAACGAGGAAUGCUGCCUGAGUUCUUUGCUAAGAGAUCCCGUUAUGGAACACCUCUUAUUGGGAUUUUGUUUUCAGC